rnacentral:lncRNA from 1 species
AAAUGGAACUAUCCAAAUCUCAGUUUGUUUCUUUUUAUAAGAUGCAAUACAUAAUGAUCUGGUGGCGGUGCUGUUUCCAGGUGUCUUCCGCAUUUUCUCAUCUGAUGAAUUUUUCUACCCUUUUCAGUCACUAUAAAGUGUUACAACUUAAAUUUAGACGCAACACAUAAAUAGUAAUUGGAAAGGUACUGCCAUUGCAUGUGUUAUGCAGAAACUAAUUAUAAAAUCGAUGUGUACCAUCGUCAUGAUCGUGAAAUUAUGAGGUCGCCAAGAAAUGAACUUUGUGAUAGUCUACUCGUUCCCCAAACCUGAAAUAAUUCUAUCGUCUGCUUUCAAAAUACUUUUUAAAUGAAUGUGACCGUCUUUUUAGCCUG